ACUCUCUUUCUCGCUCUCUCUCUCUCUCACUCUGCCUUCUCUCUCUCUCUGAAAUUCUUCUACUUUUUCUGUCAGGCCGGCCAGUUCAUUCUUCAGAUGGUCUCUUUCUUGUUGAGCACUUUUUAGCCCUAUUUCCAAUUGUGUAAACUGUUCUUUAAGGAGGGUCUUUGUGUUUUGCAUCUGAGCUUGAGCCGAACUGGUAGGGUAAUUUUUUCUUUCUGGAGCUUCAGAUGUGGUGCCGCUUGAGGGAGUGCUGUCA